CGGGGUAUGGCGCAGCCUGGCAGCGCGCUUGUCUGGGGGACAAGAGGUCGCAGGUUCAAGUCCUGCUACCCCGACCA
rnacentral:tRNA from 1 species